UGCUUCCUAAUUGUGGUGCUAGAGGAGGCUCUUGAGGGUCCCAUGGAAUGCAAGGAGAUCAAACCUGUCAAUCCUAAAGGAAAUCAACCUUGAAUAUUCAUUGGAAGGACUGAUGCU